rfam:Capsella rubella cultivar Monte Gargano unplaced genomic scaffold scaffold_3, whole genome shotgun sequence.
CUCCGAUGAAGAAGCAAUCCCAUAAGAUAGGAAGUGCCGUAUGACACUUUACACAACAGCGUGACU